rnacentral:misc_RNA from 1 species
CCGUAAAGGUGCAUGAGUGGUGUUUGGUUUGAUACGGGUGGUCGGCUCCCUGCUUGAGCAGGCACGGCCACGCGUGCAUUCCUUUUCAGCUGUCCGGCAAGGCUUGUAUCGUCUUGAUCGUAUAAGUGGGUUUCCUGUGUUGCAUACCUGAUCAAUGGCAUCGUCUUGAUCAAAACUGUACCUUUUUCGUCUAGUGUUGCAUCCGCACCAUUGGAUGAACCGUGUAGCAUUCUCUUUGAUCCAUCCAAUUGAUGUUCAUUCGUUGAUUGUUUGGCCCAUUGAGCGUGACUUGGUCCCUUGAAUAUGGAAGCCAAAGUGGGCAUGGGAUCGCAAGAUCCGUUUAGUGCCCUUAUUGAGCGUUAUCGCUUCUCUUACACGACCGCCUCUCACGUAUGGCACGUCCCAGCGUGUUUGGCUAUGUCGAAGAGGAAUG